UGGACCUGCAGCAAGUACUCCCUCCUGGCCUUCUCCACCAUGCCUCGCAUCAGCUCGACAGACCCCUGAGCGGCUUCAAGGUCACUGUGCAGCGACUCAUUGUCGUGCUCAAGUUCCUUCACCCUUUUCUCCAGGGCUUUCUGCUUGCGAUGCUGGGUGGAGAACUCCAGCGAGAGCACCACCUGCUUGGCAAGGUGUGCGUCU
rnacentral:lncRNA from 1 species